rnacentral:rRNA from 1 species
UACGUAGGGUGCGAGCGUUAAUCGGAAUUACUGGGCGUAAAGCGUGCGCAGGCGGUUUUGUAAGCCAGAUGUGAAAGCCCCGGGCUUAACCUGGGAAUGGCAUUUGGGACUGCAAGGCUUGAGUGCGGCAGAGGAGACUGGAAUUCCUGGUGUAGCAGUGAAAUGCGUAGAUAUCAGGAGGAACACCUAUUGCGAAGGCAGCUCGCUGGGACGUAACUGACGCUGAGACGCGAAAGCGUGGGGAGCAAACAGG